rnacentral:lncRNA from 1 species
CUUUGACGGCAGAAUUCACCUGAGGGGAAACUUCUGUCGGAAGAACCCCGGACCGGCUUGCUGCGGAGCUCCCUGGCUGUCUCCCAUCCCCCGCGGUGAUCAGACGAGUUCCUGAGAUCAACGGACCUAUUGUGUACCUCGCUGGACCCACGGUGGUGACUAUAUCUCUUUUGCUAUCUGCAAAGACUCCUUGCUUACAUUUCCUACUUUUUUCUAUCGCCUACCUUCCCUUCCCCAUCUCCCUAAAAACGGCUAGGACUUUAAUAAACUGGUUGGACCAACAUUUGAACCGUUGCUUCUUAAUCUCACGCCGGGUAUAUACACAAAAGAACCUUGCCUCCCUCCUGUAAAUUGGAGCGAGACAGCAACCUAAGUAAGAUCUUAUCCCUUUUACAGAAGAAUAUGGGAAAACUAGUCUUGGGUCAUUGAACUGAAAUGUAUUUCAGUUAAAUAGCAUGGUGUACAAAUUCCUUCCAGUGUUUCUUUUCAACCUAUUGGAAGCAUAGGCACAAAAUUUGACCUUUCAUACAUUGACACAGAGUAUUCCCUUCCUCCCAAAGUUUCCCCUAGUUGAUGUCAUCCACACAGUCGGGAUAACAGAUAUAUUUUCUCAGAUAAUGAAUCAUUUCAACCAUACUUCAGCAACACAAGGAAAAAGGACAAAGUGCUGCUUCUGCUCCAGAACAAAAUUCAACCCUUAAACAUCGAUGUCUACUUCCAUUUAGGAUAUAUUUAUUCCAGCUAAAGUUUCAGCAUUGUGCUGAGGAAUGAUGAAAAACAUUGUCUAUGAACAGAGACCAAGAAACUUCCUGAACUUUGCAUCAUUCAGAGGGGACAGGGGCCAAGGAAAACCCACCUGGCUGAGGUUGUUGGCACAGAACACUGUUGACAGACCAGGGCUGACCUCCCUGCUGAGACUCUCAGUAGAGAAGGAAGCAAAAGGCAUACGUGGUUUCAUAUGCCUUUGGCUUUUCUUGGACUAA